CUUAAAUGCUUUAUAAAUGUCACAUUGUAUAAGUCCCACAAAAAGUCUAUACAAUGGACAUCAUGAUUCUUAUUUUGUAGAUGAGAAAAACUGAGUCUCAGAAUGGCUGAGUUCACAGGUGACAAGUGGUAGAACAGGCUUGGCACUUGGAUCUGUAUGGUUUUUUAGUUUGUGUUCCUUCUCUUGUGUCAUGCGCCUCCCUUUUGUUUCCUGUUUGACAUUAGAUUGUUAUGGGAUAUAAAAAAGGACUCUUGCUAGUUUCACUCUUGUAUUCUAUAGCAGGGCUUCCCUCAUAGCUCAGUCGGCAAAGAAUCUGCCUGCAAUGCAGGAGACCCAGGGCCCUGAAACAUUUUUUGCUGGAAAGCUACCUUAUCCUCAUCUGAAGACUUUAGGUUAGAUAAAGCUGUCAAGGGAAUCCAUCUGGUAACCUCUGGCAUUUCAAGUAAAGCAGUCCUUCUUCAGAAAUAUAUAUAUAUACCAUCAAUUGUCAUUUUUUACUGAGCAUUUACCAUAUGCCCGGAAUUGUUCUGAACUCUCUACGCAGUCUCGUUUAAUCUUCACAAUGGCACAGUGAGGUAGCACUGCUAUUAUUGACACUCUUAUUCUUCCUGAUUUAUGUACAAAUGAGGAAACAGAUUUAGAGGUGAGUAGCUGAACCCACUCCCCAGCCAGGGCUGAGAACUACCGGCUGCUGCAAGCGGCUGUCUACACCAGAAGGUGAGCUUCAAGGUCUUUUGCAAACCAAGACAAGCAACAUCAAAUGUCACUGAGACCACAACUACUUAAGGAGAAAUCUGGAUGACUGAGAUCUUCCUAGGAAAGGAUGAAAAAAGAACAUUUUUGCUUCAAUCAAACAAGAGAAUGGGAUCUUUUAGUGGGAACUCUCAAACCAUAAGGACCUGUGUUUGGACAAGAAAUUUGGCCAAAAGCAAUCUACUUGGCAAAUCUAAAUCAGACUGUGGAUUCUGUUGUAAGAACAGGCACUGUGAGAGUUACCAUCAAACAGUGGGAAAUGCUGCAAGAAAAUAAAAUAUGGGGUAGCUGAGGAGCUGAAAAGUGCUCGGUGAGGAGCAAGGAUUUUGAAAAAGACCCGUCAUGAAUUAUACAUCUGACAGCCUGUGUCUACAUGUAGACUCAAGCUGAAGGCGCCAUCUCUCUGGGGCCAGCAGCAGGUGACCUCCAGAAUUCAGCAGUGAUGUCUUGAAGCCAAAAACCGAAACCAGUGAUCUGUUGCUCUGAUAGUCAGCAAGGGCCAUUAGGCUGCUAUUUUAAGUUAGUUCAUUGCUGAAUGAUGUUCAGCCAACACCUGGAGUAGGAAGAUGAAGACUCAUACUUAUCUAGGUAAAAUGAACACAAGAAUUUUGGCAUGUAAAGCUGUGUGGAUUAGAGUUCAAAGUACGUACUAAGUAAAAUUUAUGUAGGAAUAAAAGUAGCAGUUUUCGGAUCUUUUAUUCUGCAACUUUGAAGGAUUUCUUUGAUGGUCUUAUGUAUGUCAUCACCUCUGAAGAGUGCAACAUAUGUACAUGGACACACGCAACUCAUCUUUCUAUCUCUAUCUCCUCUUGUCGGCUGGAAAACCAGAUGAAUGGAGUGCAGAGGGAAGAGGGCCAGCUUGUUUAGAAUUUCCAAGAUCAGCAUAUCUGAAGAUGCUUUAUUUAUGAAACAUACACUUCUUUAUUUUUUUGAAGUAUUAACAACAAAGUUCAUGGACAGCGUCAAAGAAAACGCUGGCAAAGGGUCAAGUAUGCUGAAGAAAACCACCCCAAUUUGAGGAAAGGCCUCAUGGCACAGUUUAGACUCCAGCUGCAGCUGCACCUUCAGAGACCAGCCAGUGAUCCUGCCUUUCAUAUUAUAAACUGAGGCCACCAAGCAUGCAGUAUCCCUCCUUACAUCUAGGGACCCAUCUGUGCAUGUGCUCAGCUCCACCUUAUU